rnacentral:rRNA from 1 species
UGGGGAAUAUUGCACAAUGGGCGCAAGCCUGAUGCAGCCAUGCCGCGUGUAUGAAGAAGGCCUUCGGGUUGUAAAGUACUUUCAGCGGGGAGGAAGGGAGUAAAGUUAAUACCUUUGCUCAUUGACGUUACCCGCAGAAGAAGCACCGGCUAACUCCGUGCCAGCAGCCGCGGUAAUACGGAGGGUGCAAGCGUUAAUCGGAAUUACUGGGCGUAAAGCGCACGCAGGCGGUUUGUUAAGUCAGAUGUGAAAUCCCCGGGCUCAACCUGGGAACUGCAUCUGAUACUGGCAAGCUUGAGUCUCGUAGAGGGGGGUAGAAUUCCAGGUGUAGCGGUGAAAUGCGUAGAGAUCUGGAGGAAUUCCGGUGGCGAAGGCGGCCCCCUGGACGAAGACUGACGCUCAGGUGCGAAAGCGUGGGGAGCAAACAGG